rnacentral:rRNA from 1 species
CCUACGGGGGGCAGCAGUGGGGAAUAUUGGACAAUGGGCGAAAGCCUGAUCCAGCCAUGCCGCGUGUGUGAAGAAGGCCUUCGGGUUGUAAAGCACUUUCAGUGGGGAAGAAAGCCUUGGGGCUAAUACCCUCGAGGAAGGACAUCACCCACAGAAGAAGCACCGGCUAACUCCGUGCCAGCAGCCGCGGUAAUACGGGAGGGUGCGAGCGUUAAUCGGAAUUACUGGGCGUAAAGCGCGCGUAGGCGGUCUGAUAAGCCGGUUGUGAAAGCCCCGGGCUCAACCUGGGAACGGCAUCCGGAACUGUCAGGCUAGAGUGCAGGAGAGGAAGGUAGAAUUCCCGGUGUAGCGGUGAAAUGCGUAGAGAUCGGGAGGAAUACCAGUGGCGAAGGCGGCCUUCUGGACUGACACUGACGCUGAGGUGCGAAAGCGUGGGUAGCAAACAGGAUUAGAUACCCUAGUAGAC